CACUCCUACGGGAGGCAGCAGUGGGGAAUAUUGCACAAUGGGCGCAAGCCUGAUGCAGCCAUGCCGCGUGUAUGAAGAAGGCCUUCGGGUUGUAAAGUACUUUCAGCGGGGAGGAAGGCGAUAAGGUUAAUAACCUUGUCGAUUGACGUUACCCGCAGAAGAAGCACCGGCUAACUCCGUGCCAGCAGCCGCGGUAAUACGGAGGGUGCAAGCGUUAAUCGGAAUUACUGGGCGUAAAGCGCACGCAGGCGGUCUGUCAAGUCGGAUGUGAAAUCCCCGGGCUCAACCUGGGAACUGCAUUCGAAACUGGCAGGCUAGAGUCUUGUAGAGGGGGGUAGAAUUACAGGGGUAGCGGUGAAAUGCGUAGAGAUCUGGAGGAAUACCGGUGGCGAAGGCGGCCCCCUGGACAAAGACUGACGCUCAGGUGCGAAAGCGUGGGGAGCAAACAGGAUUAGAAACCCUAGUAGUCCCA
rnacentral:rRNA from 1 species